rnacentral:rRNA from 1 species
GACGAACGCUGGCGGCGUGCCUAAUACAUGCAAGUAGAACGCUGAAGGAGGAGCUUGCUCUUCUGGAUGAGUUGCGAACGGGUGAGUAACGCGUAGGUAACCUGCCUGGUAGCGGGGGAUAACUAUUGGAAACGAUAGCUAAUACCGCAUAACAGUAGAUGUUGCAUGACAUUUACUUAAAAGGUGCAAUUGCAUCACUACCAGAUGGACCUGCGUUGUAUUAGCUAGUUGGUGGGGUAACGGCUCACCAAGGCGACGAUACAUAGCCGACCUGAGAGGGUGAUCGGCCACACUGGGACUGAGACACGGCCCAGACUCCUACGGGAGGCAGCAGUAGGGAAUCUUCGGCAAUGGACGGAAGUCUGACCGAGCAACGCCGCGUGAGUGAAGAAGGUUUUCGGAUCGUAAAGCUCUGUUGUAAGAGAAGAACGAGUGUGAGAGUGGAAAGUUCACACUGUGACGGUAUCUUACCAGAGAGGGACGGCUAACUACGUG